rfam:Heterocephalus glaber contig118907, whole genome shotgun sequence.
AGAUAUAAGAGUGAUCUGGCUGUGACACCUGUCACCUCAUUGUUCACCAGGGUUGAUUUAGCUGAUCUGGCUAGCUAGGUGGGUGUCCCCUUCCUCCCUCACUACCCUAUGGGCAUCCCUCCCAAAGCUGCAUGAUUGGUCAAAGAGUACAAUACCCCUGAUAGAGGAGAACUGUUUCCUGAGUUAAGAGUAUAUGAGUAGCUGUGCUCCCUUGCUAAAACCUCCAAACAACCUCAUUUGUUUAUUUUUGCUUUUGAGAUCUCGUCCAAAAAAAUCCUUCCCUAUUCCAAUACCCCUGAGACUUCUCCUUUAUGUUUUCUUCUAGUUG